GUGGGGAAUUUUGGACAAUGGGCGAAAGCCUGAUCCAGCAAUGCCGCGUGUGUGAAGAAGGCCUUCGGGUUGUAAAGCACUUUUGUCCGGAAAGAAAUCCUUUGGGUUAAUACCUCGGAGGGAUGACGGUACCGGAAGAAUAAGGACCGGCUAACUACGUGCCAGCAGCCGCGGUAAUACGUAGGGUCCGAGCGUUAAUCGGAAUUACUGGGCGUAAAGCGUGCGCAGGCGGUUUUGUAAGACAGAUGUGAAAUCCCCGGGCUUAACCUGGGAAUUGCAUUUGUGACUGCAAGGCUAGAGUGUGUCAGAGGGGGGUAGAAUUCCACGUGUAGCAGUGAAAUGCGUAGAGAUGUGGAGGAAUACCGAUGGCGAAGGCAGCCCCCUGGGAUAACACUGACGCUCAUGCACGAAAGCGUGGGGAGCAAACAGGAUUAGAUACCCGAGUAGUCC
rnacentral:rRNA from 1 species